rnacentral:rRNA from 1 species
UGGUGGAGUGAUUUGUCUGGUUAAUUCCGUUAACGAACGAGACCUCGACCUGCUAAAUAGUUCGACGAAGGUUCGCCUUCGGACUGACUUCUUAGAGGGACUAUCGGUGUGUAGCCGACGGAAGUUCGAGGCAAUAACA